rnacentral:rRNA from 1 species
GUAGGGAAUAUUGGACAAUGGGGGCAACCCUGAUCCAGCGACGCCGCGUGAGUGAUGAAGGCCUUCGGGUCGUAAAGCUCUGUUGCAGGGGAAGAACACAAUGACGGUACCCUGCUAGAAAGGAUCGGCUAACUUCGUGCCAGCAGCCGCGGUAAGACGAGGGAUCCUAGCGUUUUUCGGAAUUAUUGGGCGUAAAGCGGGUGCAGGUGGCUUGGUAAGUCAGAUGUGAAAGCCUGGGGCUUAACCCCAGAAGUGCAUUUGAUACUGCUGAGCUUGAGUGCUGGAGAGGCUAUUAGAAUUCCUGGUGUAGUGGUGAAAUACGUAGAUAUCAGGAGGAAUACCGGAGGCGAAGGCGGAUAGCUGGCCAGACACUGACACUCAGACCCGAAAGCGUGGGGAUCAAACAGGAUUAGAAACCCGAGUAGUCC